rnacentral:rRNA from 1 species
UACGGAGGGUGCAAGCGUUAUCCGGAUUCACUGGGUUUAAAGGGUGCGUAGGUGGGCAGGUAAGUCAGUGGUGAAAUCUCCGAGCUUAACUCGGAAACUGCCGUUGAUACUAUUUGUCUUGAAUAUUGUGGAGGUAAGCGGAAUAUGUCAUGUAGCGGUGAAAUGCUUAGAUAUGACAUAGAACAUCAAUUGCGAAGGCAGCUUACUACACAACGAUUGACGCUGAGGCACGAAAGCGUGGGGAUCAAACAGG